rnacentral:pre_miRNA from 1 species
ACUUAAAGGCAUUUAGAAUCUGUUGACUUAAAGACAUUAAGAAUCUGUUGUUAAUGUCUUUAAGUCAACAGAUUCUUAAUGUCUUUAAGU